GGAUUUUUGGAACUAGGAGUUGGAAUAG
rnacentral:piRNA from 3 species